UACGAAGGGGGCUAGCGUUGCUCGGAAUCACUGGGCGUAAAGGGUGCGUAGGCGGGUCUUUAAGUCAGGGGUGAAAUCCUGGAGCUCAACUCCAGAACUGCCUUUGAUACUGAAGAUCUUGAGUUCGGGAGGGGUGAAUGGAACUGCGAGUGUAGAGGUGAAAUUCGUAGAUAUUCGCAAGAACACCAGUGGCGAAGGCGGCUCACUGGCCCGAUACUGACGCUGAGGCACGAAAGCGUGGGGAGCAAACAGG
rnacentral:rRNA from 1 species